UACGAACCGUACAAACGUUAUUCGGAAUCACUGGGCUUAAAGGGUGCGUAGGCGGCCAUGUAAGUGAGGUGUGAAAUCCCUCGGCUCAACCGAGGAACUGCGCUUCAUACUGCAUGGCUUGAGGGAGACAGGGGUAAGCGGAACUGAUGGUGGAGCGGUGAAAUGCGCUGAUAUCAUCAGGAACACCGGUGGCGAAAGCGGCUUACUGGGUCUCUUCUGACGCUGAGGUACGAAAGCUAGGGGAGCGAACGGG
rnacentral:rRNA from 1 species